rnacentral:misc_RNA from 1 species
GAAAUGUCCGGCAUGGAGAGACUGCAGAGAAUGUUUGCGGGUGCAGGAGGAGCUUUAGGUCACCCACCCCCAGAUUCUCCAACUCUUGAUUCAUCGGAGCAGGUCUACAUCUCCUCUCUUGCCCUCCUCAAAAUGCUUAAACACGGAAGAGCUGGGGUCCCCAUGGAAGUGAUGGGCUUGAUGCUGGGAGAAUUUGUGGAUGAAUACACUGUACGUGUUGUUGACGUCUUUGCAAUGCCUCAAAGUGGUACUGG